rnacentral:lncRNA from 1 species
AAUAUCAAGAAAUACUGAAAUUCAUAUAAGAGAAUAACCUCCUUCAAUCAAUAUUUUUUCUAUACAAAUGAACCUAAAAAUUAAGUUCUUGACCAUAUGCUUAAAAAAACAUUAUUAUCUACCAUCCAUAUCAUAUCAUACCAUACCAUGUUAGUUGAAGUUCCUAUAGGAUAAUUCAGGGAAAGGCUCCUAGAAAUUAAAGAACUCUGAUGGCUCAUUUUCUAAUGUUAGCUUAAAGACCAAUCAUAUGUAGUUAAUAAUAUGGUGAACAUACAAAUUACAAAAUAUAAAGAUUCAUAAUCUAUACAGAAUAAAUGGCAGCAGCAUGGUACUCAUUUUCCAUUAUCAACCGUACACAGAGUAGUCAAAACAAGGAAGUGAUUGAUUGAAAUUUGAAAAAGAAGAAGCAAGAAACGUAAGCAAAGCUGGUUCCAAAUCUUCACAAGUCGGUGGUGGAGAGAGAGGACUUGAAUCUAAAAGAACCUGCUUUAGUUUGCACAAGCUUCAAGACAGAGGCUACAAUUUUCUUGAACUUGAGAGCAACAUUGUUGAGCUUAGGCGAUUCGGGCUCUGUGAAAGAAUCUAGCUUAUAGGUUGUGAGGAAGAUUUUCCUCUGCUUGGCUCUUCUGCGUCUGUAGCUAAUGGACUUGAGAAUGUGGUCCCUUCCACUGCUAGGCACACCCCCAAGAGUUUCAUAUUUGUAUCUACGGCUGCGAGAGAGGGUGGAGCUGCGGAGAAAGGUGGCCAUGGUGGGUGGCUAUGCGAAGUUGCAAAAACUCUCAGUCUCAGACACUACUCAUCACUUGAUACAGAACAAGCUUUUGAUUCUUGUUUAUGAUCGAUCGUUAUCAUUGUUUGGUGUUUCCUUUUAUUGUGCUGUCCCUACCCUUCGAAUUGUUGGGUGUAGACUUCAAUAAAAGGUAGUUCACCAUCAU